UACAGAGGUCUCAAGCGUUGUUCGGAUUCAUUGGGCGUAAAGGGUGCGCAGGCGGCGGGGCAAGUCGGACGUGAAAUCUCGGGGCUUAACCCCGAAACUGCGUUCGAUACUGCCCUGCUAGAGGACUGGAGAGGAGACUGGAAUUCCUGGUGUAGCAGUGAAAUGCGUAGAUAUCAUGAGGAAGACCAGUGGCGAAGGCGGGUCUCUGGACAGUUCCUGACACUGAGACACGAAGGCCAGGGGAGCAAACGGG
rnacentral:rRNA from 1 species